rnacentral:piRNA from 1 species
UGGCCAGAGAUGAGAAUGUCCUUGACAA